CCUACGGGGGGCUGCAGUGGGGAAUAUUGCGCAAUGGGGGAAACCCUGACGCAGCAACGCCGCGUGAGCGAUGAAGGUCUUCGGAUUGUAAAGCUCUGUCUUUUGGGACGAUAAUGACGGUACCAAAGGAAGAAGCCACGGUAAUACGUAGGUGGCAAGCGUUGUCCGGAUUUACUGGGCGUAAAGAGUAUGUAGGCGGAUAUUUAAGUCAGAUGUGAAAUCCCCAGGCUUAACCUGGGAGCUGCAUUUGAUACUGGGUGUCUAGAGUGCAGGAGAGGAAAGUGGAAUUCCUAGUGUAGCGGUGAAAUGCGUAGAGAUUAGGAAGAACACCAGUGGCGAAGGCGACUUUCUGGACUGUAACUGACGCUGAGAUACGAAAGCGUGGGGAGCAAACAGGAUUAGAUACCCCAGUAGUC
rnacentral:rRNA from 1 species